CCCAUCAAUGUAUGUAAGAAUCCCACUGAGAGGAAGGCAAAUGCAUUUUAUAAGAAGGAAUUUCACAAGAUUUGUGUUAACUAUGUUACAUUACAGCUCCUUUUUCUGUGGCAACCAAUGUGUUACUGUGCUAACAGACUAACCAGAAGACAGAACUCAUGUUUUACAGAAACUUGUGUUGUGUCCUUUUACAGAACAAACUCUUGAUGGAAUAUUUGUCAGGAUCUGUAGAUCUGCUAUUUCAUUGCUACGGUUGCUUUCUCCCCCAGCAAAUGUACACUGGCUGUGCCUUUACGUGUGACUAUCGGGGGAUGUUACUGUGCCCAAUGACCUUCCCUGACACUGCUUUUCUAUGGCCUUGGGUGACAGCUCCACAGUUACAUUAUGUUUGAGAUACCAUGCUGUUUGUGAUCUGUUGGCACUGUUUAAAAAGGAAAUUGUGCAGGGCUCAUCUGCACAGCUUCCCAGUCACAGACCAGUGCUUCAGGGGAGCAGUGAACAGGGAGAUCAGGAGUUUUCUUUUCACAUGCUGCAAUCUCGUUUUGAGACGCCAGCUUGCUGAGAAUGAUAAAAAGAACUGGGGCCAUUUGCAUACAGGUGAAGAGAGGCGGUGAUGUCCCGUGUUCCGCAGAGGCCAAGGCACCACAGAACUUUGUCCUGCAGGGGAAAACUGCUCACAGGAGGCAAAUAUUCCUAAUGGGAAUGUACUGUUCGAAGCAUCCUAUCUCCGCUCUCUUGGCUUAGAGAGGUCAUGUUCUGAUAAUGCUCCUAGUACAAAAUUCCUAUAAAUGAAAGGGAACCAAGAUACCUACUGCUGAGCAGCGCAGCAUACAGCAGCGUGUGGAGGUGAUAAUGGAGUCACAGCUCCGUAACUGUGAAGAUCUCACCCAGUCUUCUUUUAAAAUGCUGAAGUCUUAAGGUAAUUAAUUUUAAGACUGCUUUAUAAGUUGUUUUCAUUUUCUCCUUUUUCCUCAUUUUUAUUACUGGUUUUCCUAUGAUCUGU